AUUCUCAAUCCACUUUCUACUCUGCUUCCCGCCACCACCAAAUCCCCCGAAUUGAUCUCCCUCCCUCCUCCAAUCCUCGUCCAAUCAGUCUCCUCGGGGAAGCCUGAGACACCGAGCCGAGCUUGCUCGCCGUCCACUCCCCAAAUCCGGAGCGCGGCAAGAGCAUGGCGCCGCUCUCUUGGCGGCACCACACCCUGCUACAGGCGCUGCUCUCCCGCGGGCCCCUCUCCGAGCCCGACUUCCACGCCGUCUUCGCUGCCAUCUCCGGCAAGAGCCCUGCCACUCAUCAGCAACUUUUCAAUGAUACACUUCUCAAAAUCAACAAAGAGCUAGCAUACUUGCAGUUCGAGUUGCGAGCAUGCAUAAACCAGUAUGAUGGAACAGUAUAUUAUGGAGUGGUCAAUAACAUUGCUGAUGAAGAAUCAAAGCUUGGAACAAAGUAUUCUGUGCCACAGAUUGCAUUCUACAAGGGACUGUUGGAAGCAGUAGUUCAGGAAGCUGAAAAUGAUGGGAGCAUAACCAGUAUUGACGCUCUCAAUGUCCGGCUUGAGAACCAGGUCGUAAUUGUAGACGGCUCACAGGACAGUCAAUCUCGUCUUCCAACUUCCAUAAAGAACUUCACGUUGAGCCAGAAAGAGAAAACUCUUAACGAACUGAUACGAGAUCAUUGGCUGUCAUACACCUCCACAAGCAAGAUUGGUCUGGGCAUCAGAUCAUUUCUUGAUCUCCGAAGCUGGUUCCGUGGUAACGAUAUUCCAUCAUGCAUGGUCUGCAAUGAGGCUUGUAUAAAGGCAUCAAGUUGUCCGAAUGAGGGAUGCAAUGUCAGAAUUCAUGAGUACUGUUUGAAGAAGAAAUUUUCACAGCGAAAGGCUUCAAGAGCCUGUCCUGGUUGUCGUACUGAAUGGCCCCGGCUGGAGGGUGAAGUUGAUGGCGAUGAUGAUGUGAAUGAGCCUGGGGAAGAUCAAGCCCCAUCAGCCAACCGUUCAUCGAGGAAGAGACGCAAGGGAGUCAAAGCUGAACUGGUGGAAGAAAAUGAAAACGCAGGCCCGUCAAUGGCGAUGCCUAGGAGGAAUUUGAGAAGCACUAAAGCUGAAGCAGUGGAGGUUGCUCAAGAAGCGUCAUCUGCAGUAGCUUUGCAGCCAAUAAGGACUUCUAAACGAAGGAAGAAGUGAUGAUACUGGGGUAUACGGUAGAGGAGACCCCUUCCGCGGAAAAUGAAACGCCUAGGUUGCGACCAUAAGGAUCAAAUCCAGACGGGCUGGGCGAACAACCUUGCACCAAACCACCCAAGCUACGCUCGGUUUUUCGACGGAAAGAAGAUAAAGGCAUUGCCAACACUAAUAGAAGGGAUGUGGUUCCUGACCUCUUGUGGAGUAGAAAGUGAAUCGGAGGUGACUGGAUGAACGCAAAAUUUUCACAUGCCCUUAUGCACAUAUGGUUUAUCAAGUCCGUUCAUUUACUUUGAGAUUCAUGCUGAAGAGGUAAGUGAAAAGAAUCAUAGGGUAGGUGAAGAGAAUGAAAAGAUGGAUGAAUGUCAGGUAGGAGGGAUGACCAGCUGAAAUAAGUCAUAUGUGGGCAUGAGCAUGCGGAAUUGCAUUUCCUGAAGAACAAUAAAGGAGGGAACCUUAAACGAGGCUGGGUCAAGAUCAAGGUUUUAGAACCUGACAGUUUUGUGAAACCCCUGACCAAGGACAAGCUUUAUCUAGUCACAGAGAAAACGUUGCUGAGCAUUACCAAGUUGAGAAAUUUUGGAAAAUACCAUUGCAAAGCUCAUGGAGUUGCAAACUACCAUCCCAAAAAAGUUGAGUAGGAUAAUAAUACCAAUUCAAAGCAAUUUGAGUUGGAUAAUGCUGUUUUCCAAAUUUUCUCUACCAAAUUACAACCAGUGAUGCCUGAUUCUAAACAAGACCAAGCACACUAAUGGUUUCCUGAUAAAAUUCAGAGCAUUCGAAUAAAAAUCGUUACUCUGUCUCUGCUUCAAAUGGAGCUCACAUCCGUGUUGAUAUGAAGAUGAUGAACACAUUAUUGAUCCCUGGAGUUACUUGCUUGACCUACUCCUCUGCUUGCUGAUGCAACUCAAGCUCGAUAGCUAGAGCCAUCUGGGAGACAAAAAUGAAGACAGAAAGGUGACUACGCUUACACUGAAUUAUAUAUGCUGUUUCUUGCAUCAUUCUCACUCAGGUGCUGCAUUAUUAUACUGCAUGGUCCUGUUGUUGAAAGAAUUAGCAAUCUGACUAGUUGCCAUACGGUU